rnacentral:rRNA from 1 species
UACGAAGGGGGCUAGCGUUGUUCGGAAUUACUGGGCGUAAAGCGCGCGCAGGCGGUCCUUUAAGUCAGGGGUGAAAGCCCGGAGCUCAACUCCGGAACUGCCAUUGAAACUGUGAGACUUGAGGAUGAGAGAGGUGAGUGGAAUUCCCAGUGUAGAGGUGAAAUUCGUAGAUAUCAGGAGGAACACCGGUGGUGUAAACGGCUUUCUGGACCAUAACUGACACUGAGGCACGAAAGCGUGGGUAGCAAACAGG